rnacentral:rRNA from 1 species
UGAGGAAUAUUGGUCAAUGGGCGGAAGCCUGAACCAGCCAAGUCGCGUGAGGGAAGACGGUCCUAUGGAUUGUAAACCUCUUUUGCAGGGGAGCAAGGCGAGGUACGUGUACCGCGAAGGAGAGUACCCUGAGAAAAAGCAUCGGCUAACUCCGUACCAGCCGCCGCGGUAAUACGGAGGAUGCGAGCGUUAUCCGGAUUUAUUGGGUUUAAAGGGUGCGCAGGCGGACUGUUAAGUCAGCGGUAAAAUGUCGGUGCUCAACACCGGCCGGCCGUUGAAACUGGCAGCCUUGAGUGAGCGAGAAGUAUGCGGAAUGCGUGGUGUAGCGGUGAAAUGCAUAGAUAUCACGCAGAACUCCGAUUGCGAAGGCAGCAUACCGGCGCUCAACUGACGCUCAGGCACGAAAGCGUGGGUAUCGAACAGG